rfam:Myotis davidii contig54905, whole genome shotgun sequence.
GGUGGUUCUUGGGUGGCGCACCCCAGAAUCGGGCUCCUUCCUCUCUGAUUUUGGGUGUGUUACCCAAGAACCACA